rnacentral:rRNA from 1 species
AGCGCGUGGAGCAUGGUGGCUUAAUUUGACUCAACGCGGGAAAUCUUACUAGAUCAGGACACUUUGAGGAUUGACAGACAGUUAUACCGAACUACGAAUAAUGAAUGGUCCAGGGUAGGCAAAAACUAAUAGCUCUUUUAUGAUUAUGUGAUAGGUGGUGCAUGGCCGUUCUUAGUUCGNGGAGUGAUCUGUCUGCUUAAUUGCGUUUCAAAACAACUGAUACACAGAGUCUUGGCACAGUUCAGUUUAAUGGCGUCGAGUAUCUUUGAUUUCGACAGUAGUCCAACUCGGUUCGCCAGGGUCUCUUUUGAACGCAACGGACGUGAUCGCAACCCUUUGUUGAGUGAUGUCAGCACUCUACGUCUAUCCUAGCUCGUUGAUCGCAAGUGAGAGUUGGGUGGGCAAACUCAGGGGACAGCUUCAACUAUUCUUCUUCAAACUAGAGGAAGGUUGCGGCAAUAACAGGUCUGUGAU